GUUCUUAUGCCACAGUCCACAUCCAGAACUCUAAAUAUGACGACCGGGAUAGGCUCAGGGACAAGGCUUCAAAAUCCUGCUGUAUUGCUGGCUGUGUCACGCUCAUCAACUCCUCUUGUGUACUGGUGUGUGCUGUUGGUGUAGCAGUGACUAGAAGAACUACAAGAGUUAACAGGACAACAUCGUUCCAGUUUCUGAACAGUGUGUAAUAUUACUGUUUACAUCAUUGGCUAAAAUGCUGCUUUAUUUUGUAAAAUCCAAUCCAACAUAAGGACAUUUUCCUGAAACUUGCUGUCUAGACCAUCAAAAUGAUGGAAAUUGCUUUUAACACAGCGUUUGUAACAUUAAGAUCCAAUAAUUCAAUUCAAAGGAACAUAACAAAAGGAAUUUCCUACAGAUAACAACAAAGAGUUAAUAUUUCCCAGGGCAGACAAGUUUCCAAUUCAAUUAGUUUUAAUGAACCUUCUGCUCACUGGUUACUGAACUAGAAAGAACAGCAAUAAAUGCCCAGAGGAAAGAGAGAGAGGAUAUUAAAGAAGGGUUAGUGUAUAGUAUAUAAAUUUCCAAGUUGACUAAAAGAGUAGCCUUGAUGUAGUUUUGGGAGCUAAAGACACAGAAGACAGAUACAGAUCUGUCUUCUGAAUUUAGUGUAUAGGAACAGCAAAUCUCAGCCAGUAGUUCUGUGUGAUGAAACUAAGACAUUUAGUUUCAUCCCUGCUGUCUGAUAGGGAAAUACAUAAUAGAAUAGAAAAUACAGCCAUAUAGAUUCUUAAAAGAUCUGUGCAUAUUCUAUAAAGAAAACAUAAAACAAAUUUUCUACUAAUUAUCAGCAAACCAG
rnacentral:lncRNA from 1 species